rnacentral:rRNA from 1 species
UCCCUACGGGGGGCAGCAGUCGGGAAUAUUGCGCAAUGGAGGAAACUCUGACGCAGUGACGCCGCGUAUAGGAAGAAGGUUUUCGGAUUGUAAACUAUUGUCGUGAGGGAAGAAAUUGACAGUACCUCAGGAGGAAGCUCCGGCUAACUAUGUGCCAGCAGCCGCGGUAAUACAUAGGGAGCAAGCGUUAUCCGGAUUUAUUGGGUGUAAAGGGAGUGCAGGCGGUUCAAUAAGUCUGAU